UAUGAGCAUUUUAGCAAGUACUGCGUGCCCAAUCUCUUGCACAAAAAUCGAAAGCACGAUGGAUCACGCGGCGGAUGCUCACCGGACGGAUUUGAUGACGAUAACAAGGUUUGUGUUGAAUGAACAGACGAAGCACCCUGAAUCCCGUGGAGACUUCAGUAUUUUGCUCAGUCACAUUGUUCUUGGCUGCAAGUUCGUAUGCACUGCUGUUAACAAGGCAGGUUUGGCUAAACUCCUAGGACUUGCUGGUGAGACUAAUGUGCAGGGAGAAGAUCAAAAGAAACUUGAUGUACUCUCAAAUGAAGUGUUUAUCAAGGCUUUGGUUAGCAGUGGCCGAACAUGCAUUCUUGUCUCUGAAGAAGAUGAAGAGGCCACAUUUGUGGAGCCAGCUAACCGUGGAAAAUACUGUGUAGUUUUUGAUCCUCUGGAUGGAUCAUCGAACAUCGAUUGUGGUGUUUCUAUUGGAACG
rnacentral:misc_RNA from 1 species